AUCCGACAAAAAUUUUCAGAAAUUUUUUUAUGUUUCGUCAUUUCAAUUAUAAGAGAUAUUUAUUAUAACUCAAAAACCAGCUUCGAGAUUGUCCUCUCCGGAGUUAAAAAAAAAUAAUCGACUUCUCAGGGUGAGAGUGAUGGAUUUGCUUCCGGCCGAGACGACCUCGCAGAUCGCCAAGAAGCAUGGCUUCCGGUCACUGAAACUGGUUAACGUCGACCUGGACCAAGUUCUAGAGGACAAACCCUUCGGCGCUGACUACGGCCGCCUCGACAAUGGCCUCUUUUACUAUGUUCGUCGGAACUCCAAGCCUCGAAUGCGUGCCGCUCUCGCUCUCGCAGUCAAGGCUGGGUACUCAAUUUCACCAAUUUUCAAAUUUUAUGAUAUGUAUCGGGGUUGUUGUUGUGGUUUUAGGGGCUGAUUCAUUGGGUUUGUGGCAGCUCAGUUUUGGAGGAGGAGGAGGAGCGGGGAGUGGCUCACAUAGUAGAGCAUCUCGCUUUUAGCGCCACUACGAAAUACACGAAUCACGAUAUUGUUAAAUUUCUUGAGAGUAUUGGGGCGGAGUUUGGUGCUUGUCAAAAUGCGGUCACUUCUGCUGAUGAGACUGUGUAUGAGCUGUUUGUGCCUGUUGAUAAGCCAGAAUUGCUAUCUCAGGCCAUUUCUGUCUUGGCUGAAUUCAGUACUGAGGUUAGGGUAUCAAAAGAAGAUUUGGAGAAAGAAAGAGGAGCUGUUAUGGAAGAGUAUAGAGGGAAUAGGAAUGCUAGUGGAAGAAUGCAGGAUGCUCAUUGGAUUCUGAUGAUGGAAGGUUCAAAGUAUGCUGACCGCUUACCAAUUGGAUUAGAGAAGGUGAUUCGGACAGUUUCUGCUGAGACUGUAAAGCAAUUUUAUAGGAAAUGGUACCAUCUGCAGAACAUGGCCGUGAUAGCUGUUGGAGAUUUUUCUGAUACCAAGAGUGUAGUUGAGUUGAUCAAGAUGCAUUUUGGGCAGAAAUAUCCAGAACCUGACCCCCAUUUGAUACCAGUAUUAGAGGUUCCACCCCACAAGGAACCACGUUUUUCAUGUUUUGUUGAAUCUGAAGCUGCUGGGUCUGCAGUGAUGAUUAGCUAUAAGAUGCCUACAGAUGAGCUGAAGAAGGUGAAGGACUACAAGUCUAUGCUUGUAGAAUCCAUGUUUCUCUGUGCUCUAAACCAGAGAUUCUUUAAAUUAUCUCGCAGAAAGGAUCCACCCUAUUUCUCAUGCUCAGCUGCAGCAGAUGUUCUAGUUUGUCCACUGAAGGCUUGUAUAAUGACUUCAGCCUGUAAAGAGAAAGGCACUUUGCGGGCCCUAGAAUCAAUGCUCUUUGAGGUUGCAAGGGUACGGUUACAUGGUUUUUCGGAACGUGAAAUAUCUAUUGUUCGAGCUUUACUAAUGGCUGAGAUUGAGUCUGCCUAUCUGGAGCGUGAUCAGAUGCAAUCAACCAACUUGCGAGAUGAAUAUUUACAACAUUUUCUCCGAAAUGAACCUGUUGUUGGGAUUGAGUAUGAAGCUCAACUUCAAAAAACAAUUCUCCCUCAGAUAUCGGCAUUAGAGGUAUCCAAGUAUUCAGAGAAGUUACGAACAUCAUGUAGCUGUGUUAUAAAGACAAUUGAACCGCGAGCUUCUGCAACAGUUGAUGAUCUGAAAAAAGUGCUAUUGAAAAUAAGUGUUCUUGAGGGGGAAGGAAGCAUUAGCCCUUGGGAUGAUGAAAAAAUUCCAGAGGAAAUUGUUGCUACAAAGCCAAAUCCAGGGAGUAUCCUGCAUCAGCUUGACUAUCCAAAUAUUGGAGCAUCUGAAUUAAUCCUAUCAAAUGGCAUGCGAGUUUGCUAUAAGUGUACAGACUUACUUGAUGAUCAGGUUCUUUUUACAGGGUUCUCAUAUGGUGGUCUGUCUGAAAUCCCGGAAAGUGAUUAUUUUUCGUGCUCAAUGGGAUCAACCAUUGCUGGAGAAAUUGGUGUAUUUGGUUACAGACCAUCUGUUCUAAUGGAUAUGCUUGCUGGUAAGAGAGUUGAAGUUGGUACAAAACUUGGAGCAUACAUGAGAACUUUUUCAGGAGAUUGUUCACCUUCAGAUCUGGAAACAGCUUUGCAGCUUGUCUAUCAACUAUUUACUACAAAUGUAAUACCUGGAGAAGAAGAUGUCAAAAUUGUCAUGCAAAUGGCAGAGGAAGCAGUUCGUGCUCAAGAGAGAGAUCCUUAUACUGCUUUUGCAGACCGAGUUAAGGAGCUCAACUAUGGGAGCUCCUAUUUUUUUAGGCCUAUUAGAAUAAAGGACCUACGAAAAGUUGAUCCACUAAAAGCUUGUGAAUAUUUUAACAGCUGUUUUAAGGAUCCUUCAACUUUUACUUUUGUGAUUGUUGGAAAUCUUGAUCCUACUAUUGCACUUCCUCUGAUAUUGCAGUAUUUGGGUGGAGUACCAAAACCUCCUGAACCUAUUCUCCACUUUAACCGGGAUGACCUCAAAGGAUUACCAUUCACAUUUCCUACAAGCAUAAUAAGAGAAGUGGUUCGCAGCCCCAUGGUGGAAGCACAAUGUUCAGUUCAGCUAAGCUUUCCUGUGGUGCUGAAGAACGGGACAAUGGUAGAAGAGAUUCACCGUGUUGGCUUCCUAAGCAAACUUCUUGAAACAAAAAUCAUGCAAGUGCUACGUUUCAAGCAUGGGCAGAUAUACUCAGCUGGUGUUUGCGUGUUCCUUGGCGUAAUAGACCUUCUAAAACUGAUGAUAUACGUG
rnacentral:misc_RNA from 1 species